rnacentral:ncRNA from 1 species
UACCUGGUUGAUCCUGCCAGUAGUCAUAUGCUUGUCUCAAAGAUUAAGCCAUGCAUGUCUCAGUUCAGGCCUUAAUACGGUGAGACCGCGAAUGGCUCAUUAAAUCAGCUAUGGUUUAUUGGAUCGUGCCCGUUAGAUGGAUAACUGUAAUAACUCUAGAGCUAAUACAUGCCUCGAUGCCCUGACCCUGCUUGCUUGCGGGCGGUGGGGGAUGGGUGCACUUAUUAGACCAGAAGCCAACCAACCAACUGUGCGUGUGCGGCCCACUGCGAGGUGGACGUGGCGUGCGUUGUGACACUCACUUCUGGUGACUCUGGAUAAUUGUUACAGAUCGCAGUCGGCGCUGAGUCGGCGACGGGUCCUUCAAAUGUCUGCCCUAUCAACUUUCGAUGGUAGGUGACCUGCCUACCAUGGUGGCGACGGG